rnacentral:rRNA from 1 species
UCAACGGAGAGUUUGAUCCUGGCUCAGGACGAACGCUGGAGGCGUGCUUAACACAUGCAAGUCGAACGAUGAAGUGGAGCUUGCUCCACGGAUUAGUGGCGAACGGGUGAGUAACACGUGAAUAACCUGCCCUCAAUUUCGGAAUAACCCAGGGAAACCUGGGCUAAUACCGGAUAAGUAAACCUGUGGCAUCACAUGGUUUUGGAAAGUUUUUCGAUUGAGGAUGGAUUCGCGGCCUAUCAGCUUGUUGGUGAGGUAAUGGCUCACCAAGGCGAC